CCUACGGGAGGCAGCAGUGGGGAAUAUUGGACAAUGGGCGAAAGCCUGAUCCAGCAAUGCCGCGUGAGUGAUGAAGGCCUUAGGGUUGUAAAGCUCUUUUACCAGGGAUGAUAAUGACAGUACCUGGAGAAUAAGCUCCGGCUAACUCCGUGCCGGCAGCCGCGGUAAUACGGAGGGAGCUAGCGUUGUUCGGAAUUACUGGGCGUAAAGCGUACGUAGGCGGUUAUUCAAGUCAGAGGUGAAAGCCUGGAGCUCAACUCCAGAACUGCCUUUGAAACUAGAUAGCUAGAAUCACGGAGAGGUUAGUGGAAUUCCGAGUGUAGAGGUGAAAUUCGUAGAUAUUCGGAAGAACACCAGUGGCGAAGGCGACUAACUGGACGUGUAUUGACGCUGAGGUACGAAAGCGUGGGGAGCAAACAGGAUUAGAUACCCUGGUAGUCCACGCCGUAAACGAUGAUAACUAGCUGUUCGGUCUCUACGAGACUGAGUGGCGCAGCUAACGCAUUAAGUUAUCCGCCUGGGGAGUACGGUCGCAAGAUUAAAACUCAAAAGGAAUUGACCGGNNGAGAGNGCGACGACGACGACGAGGAGAG
rnacentral:rRNA from 1 species